rnacentral:rRNA from 1 species
AUUGAACGCUGGCGGCAGGCCUAACACAUGCAAGUCGCACGAGUGGCGGACGGGUGAGUAAUGUCUGGGACACUGCCUGCUGGAGGGGGAUAACUACUGGAAACGGUAGCUAAUACCGCAUACCAUCAGAUGUGCCCAGAUGGGAUUCGCUGGUUGGUGGGGUAACGGCGCACCAAGGCGACGAUCCCUAGCUGGUCUGAGAGGUGGACCAGCCACACUGGACCUGAGACACGGUCCAGAUGCCGACGGGAGGCAGCAGUGGGGAAUAUUGAAAAAUGGGGGCAAGCCUGAUGCAGCCAUGAGGCGUGUAUGAAGAAGGCCUUCGGGUUGGAAAGUACUUUCAGCGGGGAGGCGUUACCCGCAGAAGAAGCACCGGCUAACUCCGUGCCAGCAGCCGCGGUAAUAC